GAGGACAAACAUGGCAAAAGCGGCUCGUUAUACAUGGGGCUGGGGGCAUUUUUUUCGAUGUCGGUUGUUUGUUGGCGUAGAAAUGUGAUUGAAGACUUAUUUUGACGGGAAAAACGUCCUCUUUCCAAUGGCACUGGUCACCCGUACGCGCGACUUUCUGCUUUCUGGAUGUAGCGCGAGGAGAGCAUGGUGGAGAGAGCCGUUACAGCCAGGUGGCGCCGUUGGAGCUUGGAAUUCCUCCAGCUCAUUUGGAAGGGAAAUCAUAGAAGCGUUCGGACGCAUGUCCAGAGAGCUCUCGUUCGGGAAGCGUCUUUCGUCGUAGUUUUGGUGGUUUUGGUGCCCCGCAGUGCUGUGACUGUAUUUCAUGCCUUACUAGUGGUAUCUGGACCUGUUUCUGUGUGUGUACCUUGGAAGACCGAAAGCUGUUGGAUUUCGUGAAUUGAAGAUGCCUACAAGAAAUAUAUCUUAGAGCUGUCAUCUAGCAUGAUCUGUAAAGGUGUUGAAGACGCUGUACAUCAGGCAAGAGUGUGAUUGUUCAACAGACAUGUCACAGGGAUGAUGAACGAUAUCAAUAAAAAAUAAAAAAUAGAA